rnacentral:rRNA from 1 species
GUCGACGGCAGCACGGGAGCAAUCCUGGUGGCGAGUGGCGAACGGGUGAGUAAUGUAUCGGAACGUACCUUUCAGUGGGGGAUAACGUAGCGAAAGUUACGCUAAUACCGCAUAUUCUGUGAGCAGGAAAGCAGGGGAUCGCAAGACCUUGCGCUGAUUGAGCGGCCGAUAUCAGAUUAGCUAGUUGGUGAGGUAAAGGCUCACCAAGGCGACGAUCUGUAGCGGGUCUGAGAGGAUGAUCCGCCACACUGGAACUGAGACACGGUCCAGACUCCUACGGGAGGCAGCAGUGGGAAAUUUUGGACAAUGGGGGCAACCCUGAUCCAGCCAUGCCGCGUGAGUGAAGAAGGCCUUCGGGUUGUAAAGCUCUUUCAGCCGGGAAGAAAUCACAUGGGUUAAUACCCUGUGUGGAUGACGGUACCGGAAUAAGAAGCACCGGCUAACUACGUGCCAGCAGCCGCGGUAAUACGUAGGGUGCGAGCGUUAAUCGGAAUUACUGGGCGUAAAGCGUGCGCAGGCGGUUUGUUAAGAUAGGCGUGAAAUCCCCGGGCUCAACCUGGGAACUGCGUUUAUGACUGGCAGGCUAGAGUAUGGCAGAGGGGGGUGGAAUUCCACGUGUAGCAGUGAAAUGCGUAGAGAUGUGGAGGAACACCGAUGGCGAAGGCAGCCCCCUGGGCCAAUACUGACGCUCAUGCACGAAAGCGUGGGUAGCAAACAGGAUUAGAUACCCUGGUAGUCCACGCCCUNAACGAUGUCAACU